rnacentral:lncRNA from 1 species
UUUUUUUUUAACUUAAAUCUGAAUCUUUCAUAAAUUAUAUCAAACUUCUAAUAUUUACUCUUAGGUCCCUAGCCAUAAACUUUUAAUAUAAUAUCAUUGAAUAUAAAAUAAUUAUUAAAUAAUCCUUAUUUUUAUAAACAAACCUUUUACUAAAUUUUUAAAAAUGGGGGAUGUUACACUCUCCCCUCCUUAAAGAAAAAUUUAGUCCUCUAAAUUUA